rnacentral:lncRNA from 1 species
CCCACAGCGCGGCAGCGCUCCAGGGAAAGGCCGGACGUUACCGCGGUUUGCAGCGGGGAGCAGAUCCCGCUCGCAGAGACUGCGGAGCGCGGUGGCCCGAGGGGAGCGGGCAGAGCCGGCAGGGACAACAGCCCCGCGCCGACGCGGUGAGCUCACAGGGCGGUCCCCGAGGCGGGGGCGGGGGGCGGGGGAGGUUGUAGUUCCGGUUCCGUCACCCAGACACGUGAAGGUCGGCGAGUCGGUUCUUUGCUCGCUUCGGCCCGCGUGGUCGUGCCGGGAUGGAGUCCUCCUCGUCCUCUUCGGGCUCGGCUUUGGCCGCCGUGGACCCUCAGCUGCAGCAUUUCAUCGAGGUGGAGACACAGAAGCAGCGCUUCCAGCAGCUGGUGCACCAGAUGACGGAACUUUGCUGGGUGAGGAGCUCAGGGCUCAAAUCCGGACGCUGUGCCUAUCGGGCUGAGGCCUGUUUUGUGAACUGCGUUGAACGCUUCAUUGAUACAAGCCAGUUCAUCUUAAAUCGACUGGAGCAGACCCAGAAGUCCAAACCUGUCUUCUCAGAAAGCCUUUCUGACUGAUCUCAGCAUUACCUCUUUGGAAAAGUAGUUCAAGAAGGGAAGAGCUGCUGCUGAGUCGGUUAAAGAAAUGGCUAUGGGGGGAUUAACUCCCAAUUCUCUUCAUCAUCUUGGGACAUAUUGUCACCUGAGAAUGAACAAAGACCAAUUUUUAUGUAUGGGAGUUGAGAGUCACGUGUAUUUGGUUGUGUUUUUUAAGCUAACUGUGUGGUAAUAAUUUAGAUAAAUGGAAGUAUGAGACGCGUAUUGCUGUGUAUUGGGACGGCGCUUUCUCAAGGUCCCUUAUUAACUACUUUAUAGAAUUUGGACAGUGGAACUGCUUUCUAGAAUUGGAUAGUGGGACCACGUAGGGGGAAUCUCGAUUUGUAUGGGUUUAUAUCUGAAUUUUUUUAGGGAGAGCUUUAUGGCAGAAAAAUUGGCAGUGGGGAAAUACCCUGGCACUGAUGAACUGUGAGCUUUCUCACAGUUUGACUUAGAGCUGAAAAAAAGUCCUAUGGAGGAUUCAUAUAAUCCACCUUCUUAGAUUGUCCCUCUGCCCUAUACUGUGACUUACUUAAAUGUCAAAUUGAAAAUACGGUCUCAAGGUAGAACAGGAAGCGUGAGAAUCCAAAGGGCUUUAGUCAUAUAGGAACCUAGUUCAUGAACAUUAUUCUUAUCACCAGACAGCCACAGGAAGAAGUUAACUUACUUCGUAUAUCAGGAUACAAAACAUUCACAGAUGUGCCUAAAGAAAUAACGACUUAGGCCAGUUUAAAACUAACAACAGAUUCAGGUAGAGGUGCAUGCCUGAAUGUUAGUCAUAAAUUCCAUUAACUGCAUUCUUUUGGUCACGGAAAUAAAAGCUCGCCAGAUCAACUUUGUGAUGAAGAGGCUUUCUGUUUUGCGUUUUUAACUGCAACUCAUUUUAUGGGGGCUCAUUUCAAGACAGAAAUGUAGUUAGCUUCUAUUCUAGAGGUCCCUGAAGUUUUUGUGAGAAGAAAAUACUUGGAGAUGAGAAGGGAAAAACACUGUGCUAAUACCGUAAGUUUCUGAUAGGAGCCUGUGUUGACUCCCCUCUUGUAUUGAAAUUCUCAUAGACUAAAGGAAAAGUGUCUAGUACAAAUCAUGAAUCUGGACAA